UUUCCGUAGGUGAACCUGCGGAAGGAUCAUUACUGAGUGAGGGCCCCUCGGGGUCCAACCUCCCACCCGUGUUUAACGAACCUUGUUGCUUCGGCGGGCCCGCCUCACGGCCGCCGGGGGGCAUUUGCCCCCGGGCCCGCGCCCGCCGAAGCCACCUGUGAACGCUGUCUGAAGUAUGCAGUCUGAGACAACUAUUAAAUUAAUUAAAACUUUCAACAACGGAUCUCUUGGCUCUG
rnacentral:misc_RNA from 1 species